rnacentral:rRNA from 1 species
UACGAAGGGUGCAAACGUUGCUCGGAAUUAUUGGGCGUAAAGCGCACGUAGGCGGCUUUGCAAGUCCCAUGUGAAAUCCCACGGCUCAACCGUGGAAGUGCAUGGGAAACUGCAGAGCUUGAGUACUUAAGAGGAUCGCGGAAUUCCCGGUGUAGAGGUGAAAUUCGUAGAUAUUCGGAAGAACACCAGUGGCGAAGGCGGCUCACUGGCCCGGUACUGACGCUGAGGUGCGAAAGCGUGGGGAGCAAACAGG